GCGGCGUCCUGUGGUAUUAAUCGGAAUUCUUAAGCGACGGGGGGACGUUCUGUCUAGGAGGGAUACUGACCAAGCGUCCUUUGAAGAUCUUUUCCAUAAAAGUAAAAUGUCACAGUCUAAGGAGCUUCAGUGCUACAAUCGUGGAUGUGGAAACAAAUAUAAUCCAGAAGAAAAUAAACAAGAUUCGUGCACAUUCCACCCUGGAGCGCCAUUCUUCCACGAUGCUUACAAAGGCUGGUCCUGCUGCAACAAGAAAACAGUUGACUUCACCGAGUUUCUCAACACAAAGGGGUGCACCAAAGGCUUCCACAGCGACGUGAAGCCGGUGGAGCCGGAGAAGCCCAAGAAGGAGUCGUCACCGCCCUCCGUCGGAGAGCAGAUCUUCUCCCCGCAGGCGCCCAACAGGAAGAUCGAGCCGCCCAAGCCGCGGCCAGCCGUUUGACACUCCGAUGGUACGCGUCCGGCGUGUAUGGAGGACCGCAGAAUCGGCGUGACGCGAGCUCGAGUGGCCGCUCGACUGGUGGAGAGACGGUGAAAGGUGCUGCUGCCCUGCACAGUCGCCCUCUCUGAGCCAGGCGCUAAAACAGCGGGCCAGCAGCGUGGCCGACCCGAGCCGGGGGGACGCUAACCACUAGUGCCCGGUACUAGACU
rnacentral:misc_RNA from 1 species